rnacentral:rRNA from 1 species
GAUGAACGCUGGCGGCGUGCCUAAUACAUGCAAGUCGAGCGAACGGACGAGAAGCUUGCUUCUCUGAUGUUAGCGGCGGACGGGAGAGUAACACGUGGAUAACCUACCUAUAAGACUGGGAUAAUUUCGGGAAACCGGAGCUAAUACCGGAUAAUCUUUUGAACCGCAUGGGUGAAAAGUGAAAGACGGUCGUGCUGUCACUUAUAGAUGGAUCCGCGCUGCAUUAGCUAGUUGGUGAGGUAACGGCUUACCAAGGCAACGAGGCAUAGCCGACCUGAGAGGCGGAUCGCCCACACUGGAACUGAGACACGCUCCAGACUCCUACGGGAGGCAGCAGUAGGGAAUCGUCCGCAAUGGGCGAAAGCCUGACGGAGCAACGCCGCGUGAGUGAUGACGGUCUUCGGAUCGUAAAGCUCUGUUAUUAGGGAAGAACAUAUGUGUACGUAACUGUGCACAUCUUGACGGUACCUAAUCAAAAAGCCACGGCUAACUACGUG